rnacentral:rRNA from 1 species
AGUGAACGCUGGCGGCAGGCCUAAUACAUGCAAGUCGAACGGCAGCACAGCAGAGCUUGCUCUGUGGGUGGCGAGUGGCGGACGGGUGAGGAAUACGUGGGAAUCUGCCCAGUCGUGGGGGAUAACGUAGGGAAACUUACGCUAAUACCGCAUGCGCCCUUCGGGGGAAAGCCGGGGACCUUCGGGCCUGGCGCGAUUGGAUGAGCCCACGUCGGAUUAGCUAGUUGGCGGGGUAAAGGCCCACCAAGGCGACGAUCCGUAGCUGGUCUGAGAGGAUGAUCAGCCACACUGGAACUGAGACACGGUCCAGACUCCUACGGGAGGCAGCAGUAGGGAAUAUUGGACAAUGGGCGCAAGCCUGAUCCAGCCAUGCCGCGUGAGUGAAGAAGGCCCUCGGGUUGUAAAGCUCUUUUGUCCGGAAAGAAAAGCGCCGGGUUAAUACCCUGGUGUCCUGACGGUACCGGAAGAAUAAGCACCGGCUAACUCCGUGCCAGCAGCCGCGGUAAU